UACGGAAUGUGCAACCGUUAUUCGGAAUCACUGGGCUUAAAGAGUCCGUAGGCGGCAUGUUAGGUGAGGUGUGAAAUCCCCCGGCUCAACCGAGGAAUUGCGCUUCAAACCGGCGUGCUAGAGGAAGAUAGAGGUGGGCGGAACUGAUGGUGGAGCGGUGAAAUGCGUUGAUAUCAUCAGGAACACCGGAGGCGAAGGCGGCCCACUGGGUCUUUUCUGACGCUGAGGGACGAAAGCCAGGGGAGCGAACGGG
rnacentral:rRNA from 1 species